rnacentral:rRNA from 1 species
GGAUGCGAUCAUACCAGCACUAAAGCACCGGAUCCCAUCGGAACUCCGAAGUUAAGCGUGCUUGGGCGAGAGUAGUACUAGGAUGGGUGACCUCCUGGGAAGUCCUCGUGUUGCAUCCC